rnacentral:rRNA from 1 species
CUACGGGCUGCAGCAGUGGGGAAUAUUGCACAAUGGGCGCAAGCCUGAUGCAGCCAUGCCGCGUGUAUGAAGAAGGCCUUCGGGUUGUAAAGUACUUUCAGCGGGGAGGAAGGGAGUAAAGUUAAUACCUUUGCUCAUUGACGUUACCCGCAGAAGAAGCACCGGCUAACUCCGUGCCAGCAGCCGCGGUAAUACGGAGGGUGCAAGCGUUAAUCGGAAUUACUGGGCGUAAAGCGCACGCAGGCGGUUUGUUAAGUCAGAUGUGAAAUCCCCGGGCUCAACCUGGGAACUGCAUCUGAUACUGGGGAGCUAGAGUCUCGUAGAGGGGGGUAGAAUUCCAGGUGUAGCGGUGAAAUGCGUAGAGAUCUGGAGGAAUACCGGUGGCGAAGGCGGCCCCCUGGACGAAGACUGACGCUCAGGUGCGAAAGCGUGGGGAGCAAACAGGAUUAGAUACCCCAGUAGUC